rnacentral:rRNA from 1 species
CCCUUAGAUGUCCUGGGCCGCACGCGCGUUACACUGAUGCAUUCAACGAGCUUAUAACCUUGGCCGAGAGGCCUGGGCAAUCUUGUUAACGUGCAUCGUGAUAGGGAUAGAUUAUUGAAAUUAUUAAUCUUGAACGAGGAAUUCCUAGUAAACGCAGAUCAUCAAUCUGCAUUGAUUACGUCCCUGCCCUUUGUACACACCGCCCGUCGCACCUACCGAUUGAAUGGUCCGGUGAAGCCUCCGGAUUGGCGCGCACCUCGGUGCCGCCGAGAAGUUGGCUAAACCUUACCAUUUAGAGGAAGGUGAANUCGUANCA